CAGCUCUCCGAGUGGUAGGGAUGAUUGUUGGGCUUAAAGCGUCCGUAGCCGGCUUAGCAAGUCUCCUGUUAAAUUCAGCGACCUAAUCGUUGAGCCGCGGGAGAUACUACUAGGCUAGGAGGCGGGAGAGGCCGACGGUACUUCCGGGGUAGGGGUGAAAUCCUAUAAUCCCGGGCGGACCACCAGUGGCGAAGGCUGUCGGCUAGAACGCGCUCGACGGUGAGGGACGAAAGCUGGGGGAGCGAACCGGAUUAGAGACCCGAGUAGUCC
rnacentral:rRNA from 1 species